GGACCUCGCGUUGCUCCUCUGAGCUCACCCGCCGAGGCAGCAGCUCCUCCAAGCGCCGAGCCCGAUCCCGAAGCUCCAGAAAUCUGCGCUCAAGCAACGCCUUGAGGACCAGCGGGGAAAAGAAUGCCCGCCACUUCCUCCUGCGCCUACUCCGCUCCUGCUCCCAGCUAGGAGAAUAAGAAUACACACCAGCAUGUCAUCUGCUCCAUCAGGCUCCUCCUGAUUUCCAUUUGUUGUCGGAAGGCAUCCAGGAGAUGCUCCCUCAACUGGUCCAUCUCGGCCCGACUCUGAUGACUGGAGUGGGCCUGGACCUCCGCUACGAGUGGGGAGAGAUGACAAGAAGAGAGAAGAGAGGAAUAAUGAAUAUUAGGAAUAAGGAUAUUAUUCAGGUACUGGAGGAGGCAGUGUGGAGAA